rnacentral:misc_RNA from 1 species
GAUGAAGAACGUAGCGAAAUGCGAUACUUGGUGUGAAUUGCAGAAUCCCGUGAACCAUCGAGUCUUUGAACGCAAGUUGCGCCUCAAGCCAUUAGGUUGAGGGCACGUCUGCCUGGGCGUCACAUAUCGUUGCCUGAUGCCAGUUUCCUCGUGAUGGGUGACUGUGCAGGGCGAAUGAUGGCUUCCCGUGAGCAUUGUUGCCUCAUGGUUGGUUGAAAAUUGAGUCCUUGGUAGGGAGCGCCGUGAUAGAUGGUGGUUGAGUGACGAACGAGACCCAAUCAUGUGAGACCCCUACCGAAUUUGGCCUUCAUGACCCACAUGCGUCUUUGGAACGCUCAUGACGAGACCUCAAGUCAGGCGGGGCUACCCGCUGAGUUCAAGCAUAUCAAUAAGCGGAGGA